ACACGGAGGGCGCAAGCGUUGCUCGGAAUCACUGGGCGUAAAGCGGGUGUAGGCGGUCUAGUAAGUCAGAUGUGAAAGCCCACGGCUCAACCGUGGAAGUGCAUCUGAAACUGCUAGACUUGAGUGCCGGAGAGGGAAGUGGAAUUCCUGGUGUAGGGGUGAAAUCCGUAGAUAUCAGGAGGAACACCGGUGGCGAAGGCGACUUCCUGGACGGCCACUGACGCUGAGACCCGAAAGCGUGGGGAGCAAACAGGAUUAGAAACCCUAGUAGUCC
rnacentral:rRNA from 1 species